UGCGCAGGUGGGCUUGUAAGUCAGUGGUGAAAUACUGCCGCUUAACGGUAGAACUGCCAUUGAUACUGCGAGUCUUGAAUAUGGUUGAGGUAGGCGGAAUGUGUUGUGUAGCGGUGAAAUGCAUAGAUAUGACACAGAACGCCGAUUGCGAAGGCAGCUUACUAAGCCAUUAUUGACGCUGAGGCACGAAAGCGUGGGGAGCGAACAGGAUUAGAUACCCUGGUAGUCC
rnacentral:rRNA from 1 species